UACAGAGGGGGCAAGCGUUGUUCGGAAUUACUGGGCGUAAAGGGCGCGUAGGCGGCCUGCUAAGUCGAACGUGAAAUCCCCGGGCUUAACCCGGGAACUGCGUCCGAUACUGGCUGGCUUGAAUCCGGGAGAGGGAUGCGGAAUUCCAGGUGUAGCGGUGAAAUGCGUAGAUAUCUGGAGGAACACCGGUGGCGAAGGCGGCAUCCUGGACCGGUAUUGACGCUGAGGAGCGAAAGCCAGGGGAGCAAACGGG
rnacentral:rRNA from 1 species